rnacentral:snoRNA from 2 species
AUAUGUGUCUAUGGGCCUCUCAUAGUGGACCCAUGCCAGAGGAAGUUGCAGCCUCAAACCAUUGCCCAGCCUCCUUACCCUUGGGCUGUGAGCACUGAAGGGGGCUGUACAGUA